AUCUUGCUGGGGAUUCCUGUCUUCUGAAGAGAUGGCAUUGAGCAUUUAUGAAAGAAUGUUGCUCAUCAUUACUUGCUGAAUGUGUGACAGAGCUGGAGGGAGGAAGAACAAUUGAGAUCUGAUUCUUACCCCUAGGCCUGUUCCUCUGAUAAUUCUGAAAAGCAGACCUUGAAAACGACUCUUUAUUCAAAGAACCUACCAGCUGUGGGAGACCCAUACACAGGAGGCGACUUACUGGCACUCCACCAUCAGCCGCUUGGCUCUGCAGGGAUGCAGAGCAACUUGGAAAACAUGCACCAUAGGAGAAUUGGUGUUUCCAUGCCAAAUGGGAAUUCUUCUAACCUUGUGAGGGGUCUGUAAAUUUGCUUUAAGCUGAUUUACACUGGCAGUAUGCUCAAAACAGAUGGAGUACAUCAGUGCCUUGAUAUAAAGUUUCUUAAUCAGCACUGCCAACUGAAAAAUCCCAACACACAGCAAUGUAGGCAGUGUAGUCACACAAGAUGGAACAAUAGCUGAAUCACAUCUAUAUAGUGAGGCAGACUCUUAUCUUCAUUAUUCUCUUUCUGAAUAUUGCAAAAAACUGGACAGUAGGUUCAUUUUUUUCCCCCCCAUAUGGUUUAUUGCUGAAACAGUGGUUCUGCAAAGGGUACUGUUGUAUAGUUUACCUAAAUUAGAAAGACCUAAAAGAGACUGUCAGUUUGGACUGUACUAGGCUGUGCAGGUUGACUGUCUGCAAUUAGGAAGCAUGAGAUAACAUCAGCUGCAAAGCUGCUGGUUUCUGAUUUAUUUUUCUUAAUAUGGUUACUGCAGUGCAUGCAUGCGUGUAUACCAUGUUGCCUAAAUAGACAUGCAUGCUGUUGGGUAUACAGGCAGCUAUUCAUUUGAGACUCUUAUUUUAUUUUUAAUUUCAGAAAUAAAUAACUUUGUUAGG
ensembl:lncRNA